AUACUUACUUGGCAAGGGAGAUACCAUGAUCACGAACGUGGUUUUCUCAGGGUGAGGCUAUCCAUUGCACUCUGGUUAUGCUGACUCCUGUGAUUUUUCCAAACAUGCAUAAUUUGUGAUCAUGGGGCAUUGUGUUUGCACUCUCCCCUG
rnacentral:snRNA from 1 species